GUGGGCCAGCAGUACCUCCUCUUCAGCGGCCCACACAACAAUUUACACUUGUUCUGAGUGAGGUAGCUCCAAUCCUAUCAGUUGUCUCACUGAUUUGCUUGAGGAUCAGGAAGCUGUGUGAGACUGGCAGUGAUUCCGAACAAAUGAAAAAGCUGAAAAAUAGAAUCCUGCAGAACCUGGACAAGCGAAUCCCCAUGACUAACUUGGUGAAAGCGAGUGUCUGCUUUGACCCAUCAGUGAGGGAUAUAGUCUUGACCAAGGACAAGCUACACAACAUAUCAAGGAACUACUCCCUAACAUUCAGACUUCAAGUUAAGGUUGUUAAGUCAGCAGUGUGAAAAAGCUGCGGAUGUCCUGGCUGGAGGAUGCCAGAGACAGCGGGGAAUCUGUUGUGGAGUCUCGAGAACAACAACUGCAAAGAGAACUCAACAGGUACUUGUUGACCUCAACAAUUGCUGAAACUUCCUUGGAGUUUUGGAAGGACAAUCAAAAACACUUUCCAUAGUUGUCAUCUUUGGCUAAAGUGUAUCUUUGCAUAUCAGCAAGCAGCAUGCCUGUGGAAUCCCUUUUCAGUACCACAUGUGUUCUUCUGAAUGGGAGAAGAUCUAGCCUAGCGCCAUCCAACCGCAAUAUGAUGUGCAUUAUUCAUGAUAAUUACAACAAAG